rnacentral:RNase_P_RNA from 1 species
GUAGGGCGGUCUAUCGCUGGCCAUUUUAUGGCGAGAGGAAAGUCCGGGCAAUACAGAGCAUCGCGCUUCCUAAUUAGAAGAAAGCCGCAAGGUUUUGUUUUCGUAACAGAAAAUUACCGCCGCAAGGUAAGGGUGAAAAGGCGAGGUAAGAGCUCACCGCGUCACUGGUGACAGUGGCGGCCAUACGAAUCCGCGAAUUGUAAGGCCAUGUAUACUCAAUUCACCGAAAGGUGCUAAUGCUGCUCGUGUUAGGUCUUCUGACGAUUGAGGGGGUAGGCUGCUUGAGCCGCACGGUGACGUGCGCGCUUAGAUAAAUGAUAGACAUCCAUCCUCGUGAUGGAGACAGAACUCGGCUUAUAGCCCUGCUA